rnacentral:rRNA from 1 species
CCUACGGGAGGCAGCAGUGGGGAAUAUUGCACAAUGGGGGAAACCCUGAUGCAGCGACGCCGCGUGAGCGAUGAAGUAUUUCGGGAUGUAAAGCUCUAUCAGCAGGGAAGAAAAUUACGGUACCUGACUCAGAAGCCCCGGCUAACUACGUGCCAGCAGCCGCGGUAAUACGUAGGCGGCAAGCGUUAUCCGGAUUUACUGGGUGUAAAGGGAGCGUAGACGGAUUGGCAAGCCAGAUGUGAAAGGCUGGGGCUCAACCCCAGGACUGCAUUUGGAACUGUCAUGCUAGAGUUUCGGAGAGGCAGGCGGAAUUCGUGGUGUAGCGGUGAAAUGCGUAGAUAUUAGGAGGAACACCAGUGGCGAAGGCGGCCUGCUGGACGAUAACUGACGUUGAGGCUCGAAAGCGUGGGGAGCAAACAGGAUUAGAUACCCUUGUAGUC